rnacentral:rRNA from 1 species
UACGUAGGGUGCAAGCGUUGUCCGGAAUCAUUGGGCGUAAAGAGCUCGUAGGCGGUUUGUCGCGUCUGCUGUGAAAACUGGGGGCUCAACCCCCAGCCUGCAGUGGGUACGGGCAGACUAGAGUGUUGCAGGGGAGACUGGAAUUCCUGGUGUAGCGGUGAAAUGCGCAGAUAUCAGGAGGAACACCGGUGGCGAAGGCGGGUCUCUGGGCAACAACUGACGCUGAGGAGCGAAAGCGUGGGGAGCGAACAGG